UAAUCUGAAGCUGGCUGAUACCCAGAAUGACUCAUUUGUUAGCAAGGAGCCAUCAUAGAAACUCCACUUGGAAUUCCCUUUUCACCAGAUCACAUGUGAUUUUUGGAGUCUCAUUUGGAUGCUGUUUACUACAAAGAUCCAUGACAACUUUGUCACAUUUGCUUAACCUAGGAAUAGAUGAAAAGUUGCAGUUCAAAAAGGAAUAGGGCCGGGGGUUUAGCCCAGUGGUUCUGCCUCCUGCCUCACGAGCACAAAGUCCUGAGUUUGGUACCCCAAAAAAGGAAUGGAUGAAAAGUUGCAGUUCAAAUUCUGACAUAUUUUCUUUUCAAUUCUCUCCUCAUUUUGCUCCUCUUCCCGAAUAUGAAGACAAUGGUUAGGAAAGCUCACUGAAAGAACUACAAAACUAUACACUGAAAACAAGGUAUUCGCACGAUGAGAUAACACGCCUAUUUUCUUUCACUACCCUAAACCGGCAAAGCUCUGAUUAAGCCACCUGUACCCGAGGCUGGCGACUGAGCAGCAGAGAAACUGACCCGCGUCUCCAUGGCGACGCGUCAUAAAGCUGCAGUGCAGCCUGCUGGGCAAACUCAUGCUGGAACCGCAGCUCGGCUCAAGACUGUCUCUUCCGGGCAGGAUGCCGGUCGAGCCCAAGACUCCAUGCCCCUCUCAAUGUGACCGCAUGCUCCAACCAACAGGUGAUGCCAACUGGGAUUCCUAUGCUACCACAAUGAAGACGGCAUUCACAUAUAAAACAGGAGCAGUACCAGCUUUAAUUCGUCAAAAAAGUAUAAAAAGAUUAGGAUAUACAUACUCUCUUAGUGAUUCUACUCUUAAUCAGACCCAGUACAAUGAUGAAUAUAUUUGGAAAUCAUACUCUAAAGGAAAUUUGAUAAAAAAUGAGACUUCACGAGAAAUGAAGAGCUACAAAUCACAUCCCAAUCAAGGACUUCAAUGGACAUUACCUAAAGGGGAUUCAGUGAUGACACCAAGAAGCUGCCUCCCUUGGAAAAUUCCUGCUUCCAUGGAAGAAAUUCAGAAGGCAAUUGCAGAUCAGUUUAUUUCUUGUACUAAGAGAGACUUUCUGGACCACACCAAAGCUCAGGAGAUUAAGCAAAGUUCUCAGGUGUCCCUGGAAUGGAAAAAGUUCCUUCCCCGACCUCUAGACACUGAAUUUCGACAGAAUUAUCAAAUUCCAGCUAAAAUUCCAGAGUUGCAGGAUUUUAGUUUCAAAUAUGGAUGCUUCUCAAGACUGCCAAUUGCUUCUCAGGGUCUAGUCCCCUCCGUGCUGCACAGCUACAUGAGGAAUCAAGAACUCACGAAGCAGCAGACCAGAUACCAAAGUGACUACGGGAAAGCCUACCUGGACUUCUUAAUGAUCCUGAACUCAUUUACUCCCUCUCAAGUUAAUGAGUACCUUCAGAGUGUUUCCUACAAAGUUCCAUGGGUCCUGACAAAUGCCUGCUGUUCUAUGGUGAUGACCAGACUGUGCUGGUAGCAAUAACGGGCUGCUCCCUACACCUGUCACCGCUGCUGUUCUGCUCACUUUGUGUAAAGGGCUUGCCACACUUCAG
rnacentral:lncRNA from 1 species